UGGUCAUUUGCUGAUUAGCAUUCUGACGUGGUGGCCAGUGGAGAAGAAAUACCUGUGGCCUCAGGAGUGAUGGUCAGCAGAGGACGAUAGCAGCUGGAGGGAUUGCGAUGGCUCAUUAGAGGGAAAUACUGCCUGGAGAUCCAGAGAGGACCCAAUCCUUGGAGAAGGCUACCUUUCUUCCUCUGGAUGUGGAGAGCAUCUUUCUCAUAAGUCCCUCAGAAAUGUCUUGAGUCAUUGCUUUGUUGUCCUUCCACCAGCCUCUGGACACAGGCAGAACUUGCUUUAAUGGAACCCCAGGAGGCAUGUGGACAUGUUAGGGGACCCUUGGGUCUUGCAGUCUUGACUUGGAUUUGAAAAUUGCACCUGGAGCCCCAGGACUGGGGCUGAGGGAGAAUCUGGCUGAUCUCCAGUUAUGCAUGUCAAGCCAUGCCAGCCCAGUUCUGUGACUCAGCUGAGAAGCUGCAGCUUGCCUUGAGGCAUAUAGGUGGUACCUGCCUGCACCCCACAAAGGACUCACCUAGACUGUUCUUGUACAUGCUGCUGGAACAGCCAUUUGGAGGCCUCAACCUGGGACAGGAGGACAGAGCAGGAACGUGCCUGUGGCCCCAGCAUCGUCGUCCAAGAAGGGGAAAGGUAGAGGAUGCAGAAACUGCCACUCAAAGAAGGUAG
rnacentral:lncRNA from 1 species